AGUCCCGUGGUGUAGCGGUCAAUCACCUCGGCCUUUGGAGCCGAUGACCCCGGUUCGAAUCCGGGCGGGACUA
rnacentral:tRNA from 1 species